GACGAACGCUGGCGGCGUGCUUAACACAUGCAAGUCGAACGGAAAGGCCCUGCUUUUGUGGGGUGCUCGAGUGGCGAACGGGCGAGUAACACGUGAGUAACCUGCCCUUGACUUUGGGAUAACUUCAGGAAACUGGGGCUAAUACCGGAUAGGAGCUCCUGCUGCAUGGUGGGGGUUGGAAAGUUUCGGCGGUUGGGGAUGGACUCGCGGCUUAUCAGCUUGUUGGUGGGGUAGUGGCUUACCAAGGCUUUGACGGGUAGCCGGCCUGAGAGGGUGACCGGCCACAAUGGGACUGAGAUACGGCCCAGACUCCUACGGGAGGCAGCAGUGGGGAAUAUUGCACAAUGGGCGGAAGCCUGAUGCAGCAACGCCGCGUGCGGGAUGACGGCCUUCGGGUUGUAAACCGCUUUCGCCUGUGACGAAGCGUGAGUGACGGUAAUGGGUAAAGAAGCACCGGCUAACUACGUG
rnacentral:rRNA from 1 species